rnacentral:rRNA from 1 species
GAUGAACGCUGGCGGCGUGCCUAAUACAUGCAAGUCGAGCGAAUGGAUUAAGAGCUUGCUCUUAUGAAGUUAGCGGCGGACGGGUGAGUAACACGUGGGUAACCUGCCCAUAAGACUGGGAUAACUCCGGGAAACCGGGGCUAAUACCGGAUAACAUUUUGAACCGCAUGGUUCGAAAUUGAAAGGCGGCUUCGGCUGUCACUUAUGGACGGACCCGCGUCGCAUUAGCUAGUUGGUGAGGUAACGGCUCACCAAGGCAACGAUGCGGAGCCGACCUGAGAGGGAGAUCGGCCACACUGGGACUGAGACACGGCCCAGACUCCUACGGGAGGCAGCAGUAGGGAAUCUUCCGCAAUGGACGAAAGUCUGACGGAGCAACGCCGCGUGAGUGAUGAAGGCUUUCGGGUCGUAAAACUCUGUUGUUAGGGAAGAACAAGUGCUAGUUGAAUAAGCUGGCACCUUGACGGUACCUAACCAGAAAGCCACGGCUGACUACGUGCCAGCCGCCGCCAUAA